rnacentral:rRNA from 1 species
GAUCCUGGCUCAGGAUGAACGCUGACAGAAUGCUUAACACAUGCAAGUCGAUGGGGAAGUGGUGCUUGCACCAUGGUAACCAUGGCGGACGGGUGAGUAACGCGUAAGGAACUUGCCUGCGGGACUGGGAUAACAGCAGGAAACUGCUGACAAGACCGGGUAAGGUCAUUAAGCUGCAUAGCUUAGUGAUGAAAGGAGACGCCUGCGGAGAGCCUUGCGUCCUAUUAG